rnacentral:rRNA from 1 species
GACGAACGCUGGCGUCGUGCUUAACACAUGCAAGUCGAACGGAAAGGCCCUGCUUUUGUGGGGUGCUCGAGUGGCGAACGGGUGAGUAACACGUGAGUAACCUGCCCUUGACUUUGGGAUAACUUCAGGAAACUGGGGCUAAUACCGGAUAGGAGCUCCUGCUGCAUGGUGGGGGUUGGAAAGUUUCGGCGGUUGGGGAUGGACUCGCGGCUUAUCAGCUUGUUGGUGGGGUAGUGGCUUACCAAGGCUUUGACGGGUAGCCGGCCUGAGAGGGUGACCGGCCACAUUGGGACUGAGAUACGGCCCAGACUCCUACGGGAGGCAGCAGUGGGGAAUAUUGCACAAUGGGCGGAAGCCUGAUGCAGCAACGCCGCGUGCGGGAUGACGGCCUUCGGGUUGUAAACCGCUUUCGCCUGUGACGAAGCGUGAGUGACGGUAAUGGGUAAAGAAGCACCGGCUAACUACGUGCCAGCAGCCGCGGUGAUACGUAGGGUGCGAGCGUUGUCCGGAUUUAUUGGGCGUAAAGGGCUCGUAGGUGGUUGAUCGCGUCGGAAGUGUAAUCUUGGGGCUUAACCCUGAGCGUGCUUUCGAUACGGGUUGACUUGAGGAAGGUAGGGGAGAAUGGAAUUCCAGGUGGAGCGGUGGAAUGCGCAGAUAUCAGGAGGAACACCAGUGGCGAAGGCGGUUCUCUGGGCCUUUCCUGACGCUGAGGAGCGAAAGCGUGGGGAGCGAACAGGCUUAGAUACCCUGGUAGUCCACGCUGUAAACGGUGGGUACUAGGUGUGGGGUCCAUUCCACGGGUUCCGUGCCGUAGCUAACGCUUUAAGUACCCCGCCUGGGGAGUACGGCCGCAAGGCUAAAACUCAAAGGAAUUGACGGGGCCCCGCACAAGCGGCGGAGCAUGCGGAUUAAUUCGAUGCAACGCGUAGAACCUUACCUGGGUUUGACAUGGAUCGGGAGUGCUCAGAGAUGGGUGUGCCUCCUUUGGGGUCGGUUCACAGGUGGUGCAUGCCUGUCGUCAGCUCGUGUCGUGAGAUGUUGGGUUAAGUCCCGCAACGAGCGCAACCCUUGUUCACUGUUGCCAGCACGUUAUGGUGGGGACUCAGUGGAGACCGCCGGGGUCAACUCGGAGGAAGGUGGGGAUGACGUCAAGUCCUCAUGCCCCUUAUGUCCAGGGCUUCACGCAUGCUACAAUGGCUGGUACAGAGAGUGGCGAGCCUGUGAGGGUGAGCGAAUCUCGGAAAGCCGGUCUCAGUUCGGAUUGGGGUCUGCAACUCGACCUCAUGAAGUCGGAGUCGCUAGUAAUCGCAGAUCAGCAACGCUGCGGUGAAUACGUUCCCGGGGCU